GGGUCAGGGGGAGAAGAAGAAGAAAUAACAUCUAUCAAAUCAGCCCUACCUCAAAGUUCAGCUCACCCACCAGGAAUAAAACAUUUUCUACUGAAAAUGAAGACAGAUUCAGCUUCCACAUCUUUAUAGCAAGGCUAUAAUACCCGUCCGAUACAGCUAUUAUAAAAUCUGAAGGAUACAGUAACAAGGUACCAUCUUAGAAGCAGAUGCCAGACACAGCCCUCAGCAGACACCAGAUCUACUGGCAC